GUCCUAGCGGUAAACGAUGGACACUUGGUGUUGGGGGUAUUGAGUCCCCCAGUGCCGGAGUUAACACGUUAAGUGUCCCGCCUGGGGAGUACGGUCGCAAGACUGAAACUCAAAGGAAUUGACGGGGGCCCGCACAAGCGGUGGAGCAUGUGGUUCAAUUCGACGCAACGCGAAGAACCUUACCGAGGCUCGAACGGUAACUGCAACUCCUGGAAACAGGGGGUUCUCUUCGGAGACGGUUAUCGAGGUGCUGCAUGGCUGUCGU
rnacentral:rRNA from 1 species